AGCAGACUCACUCCCACCACCUUCCCUGCACUUAGACCCUUUCCUCCAGCAAGGAUAAGCAUCGCUUAAGAAACAGCACCCGGUGCACGCGCACAUUUACCACAGAACUCUGUGCUAGCCCUAAUAAGGGUAAUAAAGACCAACCGAGCCCAUCCGCCCGACCUCACUCUCGUCCUCGCUCAGCCCCAACGCCCUGCGGGCGCGUCCUGGAUGGGAGUGGGGAGAGGAAGGUAUGAACCAGCAGCCCGCAGUGAAUCACACGGAUACAGAACACGGCCCGUCGCUGCCUCUUACCCAGGUUCCCCGGGACCGCCGGAGCCUGCUGCCUGUAGGCGGCAGAGCUAAAACGACCCGCGCCGGAAAAGCCGGCGAUCGAGAACCUGCGCCCCACACCUGCCCAAGGCCCGCUGUCGGCGACUAGACCCCUUCCCUACUCACCAGCCAUGGACCCAAGGUGGCCUCCCAGGGAAGGACCAGCCAGCCUACUCUGCUCCAGCAAAAACUACGAUUUGAAGGACACAUGUACGCUCAAUAUAUCUCAGCAAAGUCCAGAACUUCCUGAUGUCUACCCUGCAGCCAUUGGUGCAAGGCCAGACCCCACCGUGGUGACUUGCCACAGCAGCUGCACUACUCUGGGAAAUUCAGUAUUGGUUUUGUAUAUUUUGCAUUAUUUUCUCUUAUUAUUAAUAUUAUUAGUAAAGCUUUUUUAACUUUCCAACUUCUCCCUCCCUUUUCCUCCUAUUCCCUUUACUGAGUGGGGAGGGCAGGGGUUAAAUAGAGAGCAUAUGCCACACUUAAUUGUUGCCCUGCAAUAAAUGGUGACAUUUGGUAUACUGCUUCUUAUGGAACUUGUUUAGAAUCUGCUUAUCUAGAAUUCACGAAGCAUAAGUAAGCUGUGAACCUCUGAACUUUCUGCUUUGUUAAAUAAAAAGGGCCAGAGAGUCUUCAAGCUAGAAGACAAGGGGAGCUGCAUCCUUGGAGAUGAGUAAAGCAGAACAGCACCUAAGAGAAGAAUGUUUUGACUAUUACCAAGAACUUACUUUCUCCAGCUGCAGGUGCAAAAUAGCAACUGAAGGUGAGAACUUUAAUUGACAGUCCACCUGAUGAAAAUGAAGAGAUCUAAUGAAGAAUGGGGAGACCCCAGACUCUGAUUUUUGCAUUUGUCCCAGAGUGACACAUGUGGGGUAAAAACUUGGAUUGUGAGGGUAUAAUUGUCCAUUUUUUUUUCUGCUGAGGGCCCCUUUUCAGGAGGCACUCAACUUGAGCUGCUCUAUGCCAUACCUUGCAAAUAAAUUAUUUAUUUAAGAAGAA